GAUGUAGCUCAGUGGUAAAGUGCUUGCCUAUACAAGCAAGGUUUUUGGGUUCGAAUCCCAGCAUGAUCA
rnacentral:tRNA from 1 species